rnacentral:rRNA from 1 species
GGACAACCUACCCUGAGGACGGGUAUAAACCCGGGAAACUGGGUAUAAUCCCCGAUAGUCCUCGGCUGCUGGAAUGCACCGAGGUCGAAAGCUCCAGCGCCUAAGGAUGGGUCUGCGGCCUAUCAGGUAGUAGUGGGUGUAGCGUACCUACUAGCCUACGACGGGUACGGGUUGUGAGAGCAAGAGCCCGGAGAUGGAUUCUGAGACACGAAUCCAGGCCCUACGGGGUGCAGCAGGCGCGAAAACUUUACAAUGCUGGCAACAGCGAUAAGGGGACCUCGAGUGCCAGGUUACAAAUCUGGCUGUCGUGAUGCCUAAAAAGCAUUACAUAGCAAGGGCCGGGCAAGACCGGUGCCAGCCGCCGCGGUAACACCGGCGGCUCGAGUGGUAACCGCUAUUAUUGGGUCUAAAGGGUCUGUAGCCGGCCGACUAAGUCUCUUGGGAAAUCUGGCAUCUCAAGUGUCAGGCUGCCAGGGGAUACUGGUCGGCUUGGGACCGGGAGAGGUGAGAGGUACCUCGGGGGUAGGGGUGAAAUCUUGUAAUCCUCGAGGGACCACCUGUGGCGAAGGCGUCUUACCAGAACGGAUCCGACGGCAAGGGACGAAAGCUAGGGGCACGAACCGGAUUAGAUACCCGGGUAGUCCUAGCCGUAAACGAUACUCGCUAGGUGUCGGCCACGGUGCGACCGUGGUCGGUGCCGUAGGGAAGCCGUGAAGCGAGCCACCUGGGAAGUACGGCCGCAAGGCUGAAACUUAA